rnacentral:rRNA from 1 species
AUGCUCUACGUGCUCGACGACAUGCAUCUGAGUGUGCUAGCUCUCGACGUUGACAGUGAGACGAUAAGCUCCGUCCAGCUCCCCGCGGCCUAUGGAAGUACGGGGGCGCCUCUGCGUCGCGAUGCACAUGGACGAAAGCCACGAGUUCGUGCUCUGGCUGCUCACGGCAAGCCUCGAUUGGGAGCGCCGGUGCGUGCUGCGUUACUUGGCACCGACGACUUUGAGGUCCCACUGGUUGGUAGGAGCGUGGGACUCUAG